rnacentral:rRNA from 1 species
UACGUAGGGUGCGAGCGUUUGUCCGGAAUUAUUGGGCGUAAAGAGCUCGUAGGCGGUCUGUUACGUCUGCUGUGAAAACCCGGGGCUUUAACCCUGGGCUUGCAGUGGAUACGGGCAGACUAGAGGCAGGUAGGGGAGAAUGGGAAUUCCCGGUGUAGCGGUGAAAUGCGCAGAUAUCGGGAGGAACACCGGUGGCGAAGGCGGUUCUCUGGGCCUGACCUGACGCUGAGGAGCGAAAAGCGUGGGGAGCGAACAGG